AUGCAUGUGGUAAAAAAUAUGUUGACAUGGCCUAAAAAUAAAUUAAAAUGUCUCACUUCUUUCCCUCCAUUUACUUCUCAGUACUACAUAACCGAAGCUGUGAACAGAUUCUUCAACCCGGAGCCCGCCAACAUCCCCGCCAACGUCCCCGCCAACGUCCCCGCCAACGUCCCCGCCAACGCCAGCGAGCGCGUCGACUCUGGUCCCACCGGAGGUGAUGCCGGCGCAAGGAUCGCCGACGAGGAGCGGCCUCCUGCGACAGCCUCUCUGCUGAGCUCAUCACGGCCACUUGUUGCCUGGGAAUUUUGCACCACAGAAAUCGACUUAGGAGCUGAAGAAAACGUGGCACACGAAGCCCAGCCGAGCGGAGGCACACAGAGAAAAGCAUCCGGGCAAAGUGAGGGCGCGUGCGGAGGACACGUGGGAAAUGAGGAUGCCACGCGGCCGAUCGCAGAUGAAGACGAACGAGAAGAAAACCGGGAACGUACCUUGAGCGCCGGCAGGAGGGAUGAUGAUGAUGAUGAUGAUGAUGGUGGUGGUGGUCAUGGGGAACAUGCAAACACCAGGUGGCAAAAUCUCACAGGUGAUGCAAUGAGUGACGACGUGGAGGAAAGUGGGAGAGAAGCCGGAGACAAAGAGGAGACAAAGAGGGCAGUGACACCGGAGCAUUUUGAAGAGAUGGGUGAAGCCGUGAGAAAUAUCCAUGGAAAGGAAGCAGAAAAUAAAAUGGAGCACAAAGAUGAAAAAGGUUUACAGAACACAGACAUCGGGGUAAAUAUAUGUCCGAUCACAGAUUUGAGUGCAGAAGAAGGGGAUGAGGUGCAUGUGCAUGAAGCGGAGUCAACGGAGACGCAUGAGGAAGUAGAAGAUACAAAACCAUUUGAAAUCCAACAGGAUUUCAGGGGAGACGCAGAGUUCACCUCACUGCACGUCGAUCUACAAACGGCCCGCGACAAUAGCGACAUCGAGUCCGAGGAUGAGUCAUACGCUGUUGAGGGCGAUGGCGUUGAGAAGGCGAAGGAGGCGGAUGCUGUCAUUGAGGAGGAAUAUGAGAAAGAGGACUCAAACCACCGCACAACAGAGCCGGAGGACGCCGUCGAAACCCUCGCUGGAGAAAGUGAAAGAGAAGACGUAUUGACUGAGGAUGUUCCACGCUGUGAAGAAGUCGUGCAGAAUGCUGAACCGGAGCCGCGGGCGGCUGACUUCCCGGACGCAGGACAAGUGGAUGUGGCUCCGAACGCUGACGUGCAAACCGAAAGCAGAGAGGUGGGUGAAGACGAGACAGAAGACAUGGUGGUCAAAUCUGAUGGGACAACGACGCAAACCUCAGUAAGCGCGGGACUUUUUGAAAAAGAUAAAGUAGAAGAAGAGAGGCUCCUCGGUGAAGAAGGCAAAGAAAGUUUCAUGGACGUGGCAGGUACACUUAACGCCGUUACGGUAGAAUCCGAAGGCGAGACUGCGCAGGAAAUGGCAGCAGCGAUUAAGGAUUUUCCCACGGGGAAAUUUGAAGGCCGGCUCGCUGUCUCGGCGCUCAACUUUCCAUCGUGUGAGGAAACACAAAAGGGAAUUCCUGAGUAUAACAAUGUGCCAGGGCCAGAUGAAAAUACAACACAAGUGCUCCUGGAGGAAGGAGAUUGUGAGGACGCCCAGGGCGAGGUGGGGAGCAAAGCGGCAGAGAGCCUUCAAAACAGUGGCUGUGGAACCGGUGCUGACUAUUUAGUGGUGAUGGAGCAUAUGGAAGAGGAGCAAGAGAGCGUGGGAGAUGUUAAGAACAACUUUGAUUCUGGAUUGCCUCAAGAAACAGAGAAACCGCUCCAAGCAGUAACCCGAGAAUCUGGACACUUAAUUGAGGAGGAGGAAGGAGAAUCUUUGGUUGAUUGUAUGAAGACGGCCAUCGAACACACAGAAAAGGAAUUUGAGAUGCGCAUUGGCCCAACAGACACAAUUAAUAAGGCGAAAAACGAGCCCCAAGAUGGGUUGGAAGAGAUUUUAAUUGACUUAGAAAUAGACGAAGGGUCAUGUGAUCCCAAAGGCAGCAGCAGGACGACAGGAGCUUCAGCAUCAGAGGAAACUUUCCUCAAGGCUGAAGAGCAGAAGAUGACAGAGACUAGCUCCUGUCACGUAGGUGAGCUGACCUCCGAGCAGAACAGAAACAUGGCUCCUAGUUCACUGGAAGACAUAACUGAAUCUGGAUGCUUGAAACGGCACGAUGAGACUGAGGCUGAACUACUUGAAGAUGUAAAAAGACAGGAAGCUGAUGUGAAAGAAGCAGCUAGGGAAGUUGAGCAGGUGGUUGCGGCAGAAGAUGAGAUGCAGAGCCAAAAUGAGAUGGAAUUGUCACAUCAGCAGGUCGAGGAAUCUGUUGGGUCACCGGAGAAGAGCAAUGUACAACCGGACGAAGCACUUGAGAUCAACGAUGAGACUUUAACAGACUCUGAAGCGCCUGAGGAAUCAAAGACGGCAGAGUCCAAAGCAGAAGAUUUCACUUCAGGAGUGGACGAGCGGAGUUGUGCUGAAGAAACUGUCUCCUCAUCCAGCGGAUGUCAGGGUAUGGUCGAUGACGAGGUCCAACAACAAGUAGACCCGCGGACGGGAGAACUAACGGAGCCUUACGAUGAGGAGCAAGGGGAAAUAUCGUCACUGCAGACGGAGAAGGAUGAAGACCAGCGUGUGGAGUCAAAUUCAAGGGAAUCUGAAUUGUUGGGUCACACGGAAACGUCUUCCUCAACAGUAGAGACUGGAUUUGUUCACCAGUCCGGGUCAUUUCAAAGCCUAUAUGACACGUUGGCUAUUGUCUCAGAAUCAGCAGACAUCUCCGAGCUGUCUAGCCUACAACCCAACUGUGAUAUGCGGGACACGUUGAGAGAGGAAGCGGCUGAGACGGGGCAAACGGAUCUGAAGGAGAAGGAAGAAUUCGGAGGGGCAGGAUUUCACCCCGAUUUGGAAGUCCCCUCACCAGAGGCCAGACAUCAGGGAUCCGCUGAAACUGGAUCAGGGAAUGAGAUCGAUGUCGAGGCCUCCGACUCGAAAGACGACGGAGAAGUCGAACCUCAGCCACAGACCGAAAGGAGUUUUCUUUACCAAUUUGAGAAAACCCCGACUGAAGAUGAGCCUCAAGAGUUGGCCGCGUCCGACUCUCCGGAUGAUAUUAAAGGAACAGAACCAGAACAAUCGACAUCCGGCUCAGAGGCGUUGUUAGAGGAUGAAAUAGUGCCGACGGAAUCUCGCUCACAGAGCGACGUCUGCACUGAAUCCGAGAGGAAGCUGCCCUCGGUGGACAAACCCCAGCCCGGGUGGAAUGAAGGAGUUGCCGAGUCAUCCGUUGGGCUCAACAUGGCCGACGGGGCAGAACAUUCAGCGACAACGUCUGAAGAUCAGAUGGAGGUGGAGAGCUCUGCGCUUGACUUUACCGCGCAAAGGUCAAGAAUUUCUGUUAAAAACCCACAUGUACGGCCACCCAAAGAUGCCCGCUCCCUCCUAAAUAUGCCCUCAUUGGAUCCCACACCCUCCCCACACAUGUCUCCCAAAGUCCCUGUAGGUGGGCCUUUGGGAGGCUUGGGCUUUGGAAUAAAACUCCCUGGCCUUGGUGGGGGAUUUCCUGUUUUAAAAAAGACAAAGCUGGUUGGAAGAGAUGAAAAUAGUCCCGAGACCCUAUCACAGGAGACAAAGCCAGAGGAGAGGAGUGACACCGAAGAUGAGACCCAACACAAACCAAAAUGGAUGCCACCAAGACAUCCAGGAUUUGGAAAUCCACUUAUGUCCGAGUUGAAGACCAAACUGAAGAAAACCACAAAAGAGUGAGAAGAAGAUGAAUUGUGAUUAUUGUGUGAGUGAGAAUGUAAUAUGUAAAUUGAGAUAUUUUUGGAACUGAACACAGUGAUGAAAUGUACAUGCCUUGUCAUAAAGCUUAACUAAAGAGUGGUCAUUUUACAUAGCCGUGUUUACAGCAAAUCAAGGAUUAUCUCUCUGGGGUGCGAAAGGACAACAUAAACUAUUGAGGUCCACGUGGUGGACAUGGUUGUGUCGUUGACUGAGUGAACUCAAAAUCACAAACAAUUUCGAUGUGCUAAGAAGCUUAAACUAUUUCUAUUGUGCAGCUCACAACCCCCCAACCCCCCCGGUCUUUGAAAGCUAUCUAUGUAUACCGUGCAAUUAAUAUGAAUUUAACUUGCUAGAUAUAAGAUAUGUAAUAUGUGGCGUACAUAUUUACAAUUUAUUUUGGAAUUCACCAUAAUAAAAAAACAAAAAAAUCUAUUCAAUUUAAAAUGUAAUUUUAUCAAGACAGUAGGUGGCAGUACUACACCAUAACAUGGACAUUCAUUUUAAACACAUGAAGAAGAAACGUUUAGCUGUGAUUGGUCGGAAUUAACCAAUCGACGUGAAGGAAGCUAGUGACGUGUUUUGAACCAGAGCGGCGCUGCAGUUGUGAGUAACUUUAUGAACUUUUCGAUGUUGAGUUUGACACACUGUUGUUCGAUUGGUACGUGUUUCCGUACACGGAUUCGAAUGAAUAAAGAACACUAAUUAAAAGUAUUUCCACGAAUAUAAACCUCCACCAAGAAGCGUCCGGGCUGUUGAG
ensembl:lncRNA